rnacentral:tRNA from 1 species
UCUAGGCUGGUGUAUAAAAGCACAUAAAAUUUUCGUUUUUACGGAGGGGUUUAAUCCCGCCUAGAU